rfam:Oryza brachyantha chromosome 3, whole genome shotgun sequence.
AAUAACUUUAUUUUUCAUUUUACCGUGUCCAACAUUUGACCAUUCGUUUUAUUUGAAAAAUUUGUACAAAUACCUAAAAAAAUUAAUCACGUAUAAAGUACUAUUCAUAUUUAAUUAUCUAGUAAUAAUAAAAAUAUUAAUCGCAAAAAAAUUUCAAAUAAAAUGAAUGGUCAAACGUUGAACACCGAAAAACGAAAAAUGAGGUUAUU